rnacentral:rRNA from 1 species
UACGUAGGUGACAAGCGUUGUCCGGAUUUACUGGGCGUAAAGAGCGCGCAGGCGGUCGAUCAAGUCGAGUGUGAAAGCCCCCGGCUUAACCGGGGAGGGUCGUUGGGGACGGCGGGGCUUGAGGGCGGGAGAGGUCGGUGGAAUUCCCGGUGUAGUGGUGAAAUGCGUAGAAAUCGGGAGGAACACCUGUGGCGAAGGCGGCCGACUGGGCCGACCCUGACGCUGAGGCGCGAAGGCGUGGGGAGCGAACGGG